rnacentral:rRNA from 1 species
UACGGUAGGGUGCGAGCGUUUGUCCGGAAUUAUUGGGCGUAAAGAGCUUGUAGGCGGUUUGUCGCGGUCUGCCGUGAAAUUCGAGGCUCAACCUCGAACUUGCGGUGGGUACGGGCAGACUAGAGUGUGGUAGGGGAGACUGGAAUUCCUGGUGUAGCGGUGAAAUGCGCAGGAUAUCAGGAGGAACACCGGUGGCGAAGGCGGGUCUCUGGGCCGUAACUGACGCUGAGGAGCGAAGCGUGGGGAGCGAACAGG